AUGAUGUCACUGAGAACUGCCGUAGACUACCUGCUGUACAGAUUUCCUUACAUUGACCAGAUUUGAGGGUGACACUUUCAGAAGAGUCUCCUGUUUAAGAGUGGAAACCUUUACAUACUAAAUCUCUCUAAAGGACCUUUUAUACUUGACAAAAAGAGUGAAGGUCAUGAUGCCUAAUGAUGAUGUCACUGAAAACUCUCAUGGACUACCUGAUGAACAACUUUCCUUACAUUGACAAGAUUCAAGUUUGCACUUUAAAGGCUCCACCAAGGGACGACUGACACUGAAGCAGACGCGCACGGUCAAAUAUCAGAUGGAGCUCAGUGAGUCUCACUGAAGAACUGAAGGAAGGACUGAGAGAGGUUCUUCUUGAAAUUGUUUGAAGAAGUGAAAACUGGUAUGUGUUUAUUUGUUCACAUUCAUAAAGCAUGGCCAUUGCUCUAGUGAUGGACAGAUGGCACAACUUUUAAGAGGCAAACUGACUUUCUUCCCAAAGAAAUAAAUCUUCAACUUCAUGGAGGCAGUUUCAUUCUUAGAUGGAUUCUGGGUUGUAGACUCUCAGGCAUUUUAUGAUCCAUCUCUCACAAUAGGGGCUGCAAAUGACAUGAGUCUUCAUCAGGAAUAAAGGAAAGAAGACAGGUAAGGUAAUAGAGAACUCCCUGAUGUAUUUAUCGCCUCUGAGUCUGAGAUGACUGUUGUCAUUAACUUGUAUAUAUAAACUUUAACUUUGAAACAAAGUACACUCCCAUGAGUUUCAGCCUUUGUACUUUCAUUGUGUAAAUAUUUGCAAUAAAGAGAGCAUUAAAAGUAAUAAAGUUGUGUGAUGUGUAUCACUCUUUUAACAGUUUCCCUUGUAUAACUUAAUAGAAUAUAUAAAUGCUUUUCCUUCAUGGUAAAUGUAAUGAAGACAAUGUCUCUUCUAACAAUAUAUGUAGUAAUUUUGACCUCUAUAAAAUUUAAUAUGUGCAUAAAUUGCCUAAACAUCCACCGCAAAUACUUAUGGGAUACUUUCUAUACUUACUCAGUGUUUUUUCCUAAAUAUUGUUUUAAAAUGCAUUUAGCAGAAUAGAUAUUGUGGUGGAUGCAGGGAGGAAGGAAAGUGAAUGGGACGGGAAGUAGAGAAAGUAAUGGGUAGGAGGAAAUAGGUAUAGUGGUUUUGCAGGAAUUAGGUAUAGUGAGUUUGGAGGAAUUAGGUAUAGUGAAUCCAUGGAAAAG